rnacentral:snRNA from 1 species
AUGAUGAUGAAAAACAAACCUUUUUA